AUUGAACGCUGGCGGCAGGCCUAACACAUGCAAGUCGAGCGGAUGAAGAGGGCUUGCUCUCUGAUUCAGCGGCGGACGGGUGAGUAAUGCCUAGGAAUCUGCCUGGUAGUGGGGGACAACGUUUCGAAAGGAACGCUAAUACCGCAUACGUCCUACGGGAGAAAGCAGGGGAACUUCGGGCCUUGCGCUAUCAGAUGAGCCUAGGUCGGGUUAGCUAGUAGGUGAGGUAAUGGAUCACCUAGGCGACGACCCGUAACAGGUCUGAGAGGAUGAACAGGCACAAUGGAGAUGCGACCAGGUCCAGGCUUUGGCGGGAGGAAGCAGUGGGGAAGUUUGGACACUGGGCGAAAGCCUGAACCAGCCAUGCCGCGGGUGUGAACAAGGUCUUCGGGUUGUAAAGCACUUUAAGUUUGGAGGGAGGGCAGUAAAUUAAUACCUUGCUGUUUUGACGUUACCCACAGAAUAAGCACCGGCUAACUUCGUGCCAGAAGCCGCCGUAACAC
rnacentral:rRNA from 1 species